AAUUGACGGGGACCCGCACAAGCAGCGGAGCGUGUGGUUUAAUCGUUGCUACACGAAGAACCUUACCUGGGUUUGACAUAUAGGUUGUAGGGAACUGAAAAGGGACCGACCCUUCGGGGAGCCUAUACAGGUGUUGCAUGGCUGUCGUCAGCUCGUGUCGUGAGAUGUUCGGUUAAGUCCGCUAACGAGCGCAACCCUCGUCGUAUGUUAUAUGUGUCAUACGAGACUGCCGGUAAAAGCCGGAGGAAGGUGAGGAUGAUGUCAAGUCAGCAUGACCCUUAUAUCCAGGGCUACACACACGCUACAAUGGUCUGUACAAUGGGUAGCCAAGCCGCGAGGCGGAGCCAAUCCUGAAAGCAGGCCUCAGUUCAGAUUGCAGUCUGCAACUCGACUGCAUGAAGCCGGAGUUGCUAGUAACCGCAGGUCAGCAAUACUGCGGUGAAUACGUUCCCGGGUCUU
rnacentral:rRNA from 1 species